CCCUUCCUCAGGAAGAAAAGUAGCUGGAGUGAGUGCUGCACAUGUGUGCAGCUGAAGUACAGGCCCUUGGAGCACUAAGGCCUGAUAUUUGAGUAAGCGGUUGUCGGACGGCCACAGCCUCCUUUAGAGGCCACAAUUCCAGCUACAUCAUGUGAAGUCCAUACAGGUGACUAGAAAGUUUAGGAGGUCCUGGAUGGCCUGCUGACACUGGGUUUCUGAAUUAGCAGUUAAAAGUUCUGGCAGCUGUGCUAUUGAAAGGCUGGGCAUGGCUUGCAGAGGCGGCUGUGCCCACCCA
rnacentral:lncRNA from 1 species